GGCCUGGUGGUGUAAUGGUAACGCGCCCGCUUGAUAUAAUUCACUCUAGUCCUUCUCUGCAGGAGUUCCUUGUUCGAAUCAAGGCUAGGCCA